rnacentral:lncRNA from 1 species
UUUGACCACUUUCUUCAGCUGGCCAUUAAGACCCAAAAACGAAAAAUAGGCGACAUAUUUGGGCCAUAUUAAUUAUGCAUCUAUUAAUUUGAAGUGCAUUAGCAGAGGGGAGCCGACAAGAAAAUCUGUAUGCUAAUAAAGGAAAUAAAAUCAAGCCAUUCGCACCAUUUUUCCAAAGCAAUUAUUUCAAGUUAUAGCCGUUUGUUACACAAAUCUCUUCUUUUCUGUUUUCAAAUAUUAAAAUUAAUAGUAAAUCCACAAAAAUAUCUACAAAUAGUGCUUUCUAGAAUUUCGAGCAUAUCCAUGGAUCGUGACCCGUUUUGAGUCGAGAAGAGGCAAUGUUCCAGGACAAAUAUUGGGUAAAUUAUCAUGUAUUGGUCAAUAAAUGUGGUAUAUUCAGGCUCAGAAAAGAUUUUCCUAUAACAUGAGCUACAAUUCAUCACAGUAUAUGCCCUGAAUUCUAAUAUAUUCAAAGAAGUGUAAAUUAGAGUUGCAGUUCUACACGGCUCCCGCAGCACACUUCACACACGAUAUCUCAAAAACGAAAGAGAGUCGCGGUCUAUUUAAAACGUCAAAAACGCAGAACUCAUUUUCAUAUAAGCAUGUGAUUUCUUUAAAAGAGAAUCGUACGGUAAGACAUUGAAUUUUGCUCCCAAAUAUGAAACUUUGCAUUUGUCUGUCACUUAAUUUUGAACAAAACGGACAUUUUGUAUAGAUCUUCCGCUAGUUGCUACCAAAAUUAUACCCUAUCCGACGGAGAAACUAUUUUUCUUUUUUAUCUGUGCAUGAUUAUGGGCAUAAAUAAUCGACAGACCAGAAAUUUUGCGUCUAAGGUAAGUCACCAUUGCAUUUGCAGAAAGUGACGCUUUCACCUUCCCUGGAUGAUUUCUCAAAAACAAGAGGGAGUCGCGAUCUAUUUAAAGCUGAAAAAUGUACAGAAUUGAUUAUUCUAUCGAUGGUGAGAAUAACAAAGACCAAAGCAUACGGUAAGACACCUCAUUUUGACCUCAAAGCCAUAAAAAUGUUUUUUAAUGUGAGGUACGUCGAAUUGCAAUGGCGUAAUUUUAUGUUCGACGUUCCUGCUAAUGAUGCAUCCGCUUUAAUACUUCUGCGUUUGUAGGCGUGAUUCGAUGUUUGAUUGGUCCAGAGCAGCUCAGAUUCGGAGCAACAACAGCUUGACAAACAUUUUUCGUCUUUGUUGUGUAUUGUCACGCAUUGUAGUGUCAUGGAUGGAGGUUCUUUCAUGGUAUUGUAAUAGGUACAUACACUUGGUUUAAAUUUAAUUUGAUUUGAUAAAUUUGAGCCAAUUCUUAGUGUUAUGGGAGUUGUCUUGCAAGUUCCCACAAGCCCAAAUAUAUUUUUUUUUUUCAGUGAAAAGUAACACUAUGAAAAAGUUGAUGCUGGAUGGUUUAAGAAAAUGCCUUAUGGUCAAAGUCGUGUGUUCCUUACAUCAAGCACUCAAAGCAUCACUGUGAAGAGACAUCAGACAAGGGUCAAGGUGAGGUGUUUGUGUGGAAACCCCAUUACAUCAUCAAGAGGGAGACCGCACUGACAGGGGUCCAAGAUCCAUCUCAGGCCCUACUGUAGACUGCCCGCCAGCAGACGGAGGCCCACCGACGGACGUCGGCUCAAUGGCCAACAGUGGCCCGCCGGCCGGCUGACGGUGGCUCGCCGACCGACGCCGGCCCGUCGGCCGACCACGGCCCACCAGUUGAUGGUGGCCCGCCAGCUGACGGAGGUCCGCCGGCCAUUCGUAGCACGCCCGCCGACGGCAGCUCGACGCACAUCCUGGCCUUAACUAUUAUAGCUAUGUCACCCCCAAGAUUAGUUCGCCCCCCCCCCCCCAAGUCCCUAGGUCACCAGUCGCGGGCGCUCCAUCUGACGGUGUCGUCCGACGGCUCCACGAGAGCGCCGCGGAAACCAUCCGACCCCGAAAAUGCUGCUAGCCGUACACGAACAAAAGGCGCCAAGCACCUAGGACCAGCGCCCUGCUCCGAGGCGGUGUCCAAAGAAGGUCGCACAGUGCACUUGCUGUGCGAAGGUGUAGUGCGCGCUGACUGAUAGGAAAAACUGACGGUUGGUUAUUAGAUCUCAGUAUGGAACUCAAGAUGGUCGGAGCCGACCUGGCUCGGUGGAUGGUGUGCCAGGGUUAAUUAAGUGUCAAAAUGAGUGAGACGCUCAGAUAUCUGAAGGAUAUGUCGAUACGAGUCCCGGCUUCGACUCCCCGUCCCAAAACGGUGUUGGCUAUGAUUGGAUUUUGGUAUUUUUACGGACUCCCCCUCCCCCCCCCCCCCCCACCCCCACACGCAAUUUGUGCUAUGUAAUAGGACGAUAAUAUGCCGUGGUCUCAUUCUGGCUCGAUAUCGUAAUAGGCACUUAAUUGGACAGAUGUUGGUGGAUGUAAAUGGCAGGUUUAGCUAGCGCGAUAUUAGUAAUCGUGGGUGCACUAGCUGCAAUCAGUCGCGCGCUUCUUGCAGAGCACCUGUGAGCAAUAAAAUUAUAUGAAAGGGCAGUUUGUCGUGAAACCUGUGUACUUUUGGAUUAAGUUAUCAGAACAUAAAUGUAUUUUUGAUGUCCACUGCAGCUCUGGAACAGAAACAUGGAGAUCGGCUGUUCGCUGUAGCAGGGGCCAAAAAAAUCCAAGGUGAUAUGUGAUUUUAAGUGAAUAUAGGUAUCUCACUGUAUUUUCAA